rnacentral:misc_RNA from 1 species
GGGUUUUUCAAUUCUUUCGUCAAAAACGUGCGAAUCGCGCACAGCUGUAUCAAAUAGAUCGUAGAAGCAAAACAACCGCCUUAGGAUCGAAUUCCAGCCCUAGAAGAUCAGAGAAGACCUAACACUGCACCCCCUUCUCAACUUUAGUCCCUCUCAGAGCUGCAAGAAGUCAAGAUCCCGUUUGAUUCGCCAACUUACCUUUUACAAAUCUUGCAUGUGGUAUCGAUUUUUCUCUUUCUUUUUAUUUUUUUUCAUACCCGUUUUGUUGAUUUCUCUUAUAAAGAUCGAUUAAUGUUUAGGGUUAGCAUCCUUGUCUUUUGAGUUUAUUGGAUGCAAGUGUCGCAAGCGCAUUGCUUGAUUUGUUAGCAGUUCAUUCCUAUAGUAAUCCAAUUAAGCACUAAACUUGUAUAGGAGCUUUGGACAGCAAAAAGAUUGAUUCUUGCUGUAAUCUCAUAAGAAAAAGACCAACUUUUUGAGAAUUUAAUGUCUAAAUUAACUCUUACUGUUCAUCUUUGGUUUUAAUGUAUUGCCCAAAUGAGAUGCUUCUUUUAAAAAUGAUCAGGACAGAGCUGUGUUUUUCAUAUCUUAUUACCUGCCCAAUGAAGCAUGUUGUCAAGAUUAUGGCCUUGCUAGUGGCCAUUUCUUCCAUUUGGGUUGGCCUCUUGCAGACCUCUAUUAUUCCUCAUAGCCAUACUUGGUUGGUAAGUCAUGUUUAAAUUUUGUUUAUCCGCAUGUUUUUGCUUAUUUUUCUUGCUGCUUGGGCUGACCUGGCUUUGUGACUCCUUCUCAGCUACCCAUCUAUUUUGUUGUAUCUUUGGGUUGCUAUGGUUUAUUAAUGGUUGGAGUUGGCUUAAUGCGAUUUCCAACUUGUCCUCAAGAAGCAAUGCUAUUGCAGCAGGUAUUGUACUGCUAUUCAACUUUAUCUUGUGGGCUAUUAUUGAUUUUUUCCCCAUUUAGUUGGAAAGAUGCAGCUAAUCUGCAUGUUUUUUUGUCCAAUUUAAAAGAUUCUUAGAUGGUGAUUUGUUACUUUAGACUUUAUCUUCACAAACUCUGCUUGGUCUGUAAUUCUUCCAAUGAAUCACAAGAUGGCACUUGCUUUCAAUUCUAUUGUAUAUUACAAAUGCUUGACAGUUUAUGUCAACAUGGCACCAAAUAUCUCAAAAAUUUAUUGCAUGCCAAUUGAUGUGUAGUGUGUACAUCUUGAUUCCAAAGAACCACCGGGAUUCCAUGCUAAUGAAACAUAUUAUAUAAUAUGGGUGCUGACUGUGUGAUACUAGAGAUGUUGUGAGCCCCUAUUAUGCUCAAAUGGUUUAUUACAUCUAUACAAUUUCACUAAAUUUAAGAUGGCUUUGCUUUAAAUCACUCAGCUUUGCUUUAAAUCACUCAAGUGAAAUAUUAUCCACUUGUUUUCAUGUCAUCUACUUGUUUAGAUACAGAUAAAUCAGCAUUGUGACGAGUGACCAUCUAUGGUUUUUUUUCCCCCCAACUUGUGAUAAUAUCUUUUCAUGACUCUGUCUACAAGUAUGUUCAAUUGUUGAGUGACCUUAAUAACAUCUCUAUGUGUUGUAUUUAUUUUCUUAUAGCACAAAGAAGUUUCAAGAAUCAUUAGUUUUUUUUAUAGGACUUAUCAUAAGCCUUUUUUGUAGUUAGAAAGCAAAAAAUUUCUAUAUUCUCUAAGAUUCACGAAUUUAUAGCUUUUGUUUUAUUUUGGCAGGACAUCAUCGAGGCCAAAGAAUUUCUAAAGCAAAAAGGGAUUGAUGUUGGCUCGGAUUGAUGAAGGCACAUAAUUUCAGGUUUAGACAGUUAAUGGCAAAACAUCUGAAAGCUUUGAGCAAUCUAUCGGUGCAUCAGAAUGCCAACUUUUCCUGUCUAUUCAAAAUUUUUUCAAAGAGUUGCAAUGUUAAAGCUAAUUAAACUUGAGGUUCCACAACGGCUCCUGGACAUUUAUGAAAAGAUGGAUUUUAUUGUUUCCUCUUUCUCUCGCUUUUUUCCUUUUUAACUAAUGGGAAUUGAGAGUUGUAGCCAUUACUCUUAUGUGAAGUUAUACGAAGAUGAACAUCAAAACAUGAUUGCCAUUCUUAAUUAACUUUUGUAACAUUUACAAUUCUUAGCUAACAUUCUUAUAAUAUUUGUUAAGUUCAAUCUUUUACUCUCUU